CCCUUAGAUGUUCUGGGCCGCACACGCGCUACACUGAAGGAGGCAGCGUGUACUCCUGGAUCGAAAGAUUUGGGUAACCCGCGAAUCUCCUUCGUGCUAGGGAUUGAGGUUUGCAAUUAUCCUUCAUGAACGAGGAAUUCCCAGUAAGUGCAAGUCAUAAGCUUGCGCUGACUACGUCCCUGCCCUCUGUACACACCGCCCGUCGCUACUACCGAUUGAAUGAUUUAGUGAGGACUUCGGACUGGGACCGAUGCGGCUUUCGGGCUGCGUCGGUAUUCUGGAAAGAUGUCCAAACUGUAUCAUUUAGAGGAAGUAAAAGUCGUANCA
rnacentral:rRNA from 1 species